rnacentral:rRNA from 1 species
UACGUAGGGUGCAAGCGUUAAUCGGAAUUACUGGGCGUAAAGCGUGCGCAGGCGGUUGUGCCAGACAGAUGUGAAAUCCCCGGGCUUAACCUGGGAACCGCAUUUGUGACUGCACAGCUGGAGUGCGGCAGAGGGGGAUGGAAUUCCGCGUGUAGCAGUGAAAUGCGUAGAUAUGCGGAGGAACACCGAUGGCGAAGGCAAUCCCCUGGGCCUGCACUGACGCUCAUGCACGAAAGCGUGGGGAGCAAACAGG